rnacentral:rRNA from 1 species
UCGGGAAUUUUGGGCAAUGGGCGAAAGCCUGACGCAGCAACGCCGCGUGAGUGAUGAAGGCCUUCGGGUCGUAAAGCUCUGUCGGAGGGAACGAAUGCUCCUGAAGUUAACAGCCUCAGGAGGUGACGGUACCAUCAAAGGAAGCACCGGCUAACUCUGUGCCAGCAGCCGCGGUAAUACAGAGGGUGCUAGCGUUGUUCGGAAUUACUGGGCGUAAAGCGAACGUAGGUGGUUAUGUGUGUCUAGUGUGAAAGCCCACGGCUCAACCGUGGAAGUGCGCUAGAAACUGCAUAACUGGAGUGUAGGAGAGGAUAGUAGAAUUCUCAGUGUAGAGGUGAAAUUCGUAGAUACUGGGAGGAACACCGGUGGCGAAGGCGACUAUCUGGACUGAUACUGACACUGAGGUGCGAAAGCGUGGGGAGCAAACAGGAUUAGAUACCCUCGUAGUCCCUGAGCGGGCUGGCAAGGCGCAU